rnacentral:misc_RNA from 1 species
UGUAAAUAUGGGUAAUAAAAUUCAAUGUUUAAGAUAUUAAAAGAAAACACCGAUUAUUAAGCUAUUCACAUAAAAAGAGGUUAAAAAAAUUUUGAAGAGCUUAUCAGAAUUUCAACUCUUUAAUUUUUUGAAUUACAGAAUAAGUUUAAUUACUAAAUAAUUUACAUAAAAAAGUUUCUAUAAAAAAGAGAUUUUUGGGAUUUCAACCUUGAUUUCCUAUAUUAUUAGACAUACACUAACUAUUAAGAAAUGAAUAUAGUAUUAAGGCCAAUUUGCACACACAAAUGAUUUCAAUUUUAGUGUAAUAGAAAAUUAAAGGGACCACAAAGUAGAGUAGCAUGCACAUAUAUUUCUUAAUAGGCAUUAACAAGCACAUAGUAAGAGAGAGAAGAGGGGUGGGGGAUAUAUUCAAGUGGAGUGUCCACAAAUUAGUGGUGCACACGUCACACUGGUUCAUCUUUCUAUAUCCCCUACUCCACUAUAAGGGCCCCUAAGAUUGCCAUUAUCUCGUUUAUUGACUGAUAAAAUUGUUUGUUUUUGUUAGCCUGGACUAUGCUAGAUUCAUUGAUAACAUCACCACCACAAAUUUAAUGUAUGUUAGUAUUAUUAAUACAGGCACAUGAUGCCAUUUUCCACUUUAGAUGUCUUCAUUAUCAUUUUUGUUCCUAGUGCUACAAUAUGUUGGCUCCUAAACCAUCUCUAAAUUGUCAGUGGAUUUACAGACCAAUGAAUUCUUAUCAUCCAUCUAUUAAAUUGUCUCCUAUUAAUCAACCUGAAAAUGAAAGCAGCACAAAAUUUUUGUGUUGAUUUUAUGCUUGAGCAAGCCAAUCUUAAAUAGAUUCAUAAGAAUAUAACACACAGUUGGGCAUUGAAAUUAAUAAACAUAUAAGAUUGUAGGAGUAAAAAAUGCAAGAUAAUUAAUCGCCAUAUGAAUACAUGAAAUCCUAUGUUUAAAUGUUACAUGAGGAUAGAGCUUAAUCAGGCUUAUCAAGUAAUUAAAAGCAUAUACUCACUUGACAGCAAGGUUCAAGACCACGCCCUCUCAUUCCCCUACUUAAAAAAAAAUAAUUAUAUGAGGAUAAAAAGGAGGAAGUCAAUGCAAAAAUGCAAAAUAUAUAUGAAAAGUGAGAUAAAGAAGCUAGAAUGGCUUAAGAUAAGCAUAAUCCAAGGCGGCUAAGGGUUGUUGCAAAGACCAACUUCUGGUAGCCAUCUUAACUCUUAAGCGGGAAGCUGGUACACUGUUAGAAUAAUUUUUCAUUCCAAAGUUGAAGUCUUUUCUCCUAAAAAUAAAAAAUUAAAAAAAAAAUCUGAUUCCACCUUCAGUUUUCUUAGACAGAGUGACAAUUUAAUAGUUCCUUCUUAUUCCCUGCUUUAAAAGUUUUGUCCUCUUCUUCUUUUUUGGUUGCCUUUUACUACAUCCAUGGCCUUUACUAAAGUCAAGGCACAGUACCAUCCUUUCUUUCAAUUGAAUACAAGGAGAAGCAGAUCUAGUAGCUUCCUUCAAGUUAUUCCUUUUUAUCCAAUUAAGUUUUGAGCUAGCCCUUUAUAUUGAAAUUAUAUAUGUUCACAAUGAGAAUUAAAGUGGAAACUUUUGAGAUAAUCUUAAUUAAAAUAACAGAAUAAAAGAGCUCUAUUAUAUGAACAACUGAAGCAAGUGCAUGCAUAUAGUAACAGACAUCUUUUAUUGUUCACUUAAAAUUGUCAGAAGAUGGACCAAAUUAAUUACUAUCUUUGUGGUUCAAAAUAAAUAAAUAUAUAUUAGAAGCUGAUAUUAUAACAAGGGAGGCUGAUUAUGAAAGUUACAUCUACAGAUCGAUCUCUUACUUUGGUUAUUUCCUUAUAGUGGCUGACAUCAGGAGCAUUUGGUAUCUUAUCACUAGAUGAGAAUGCGUGCACCACAUGUAUGGUGAAGAUGCAGAAUGGUGUAUUUUAAAAUAGCAAAAGAUUACAAAAAAGUUUCUCAAUAAUGGAUACUUACUGAUAUAAAUACGAGUAACAUACUACAUGUCCAAGCACAACAAAAGUGGGUGGAUCAAGCUAUCAUUCUAAGAAAAAUCUGGGAAGACAGACAAAAGGAGAAAAAAAAAAAUGAAAAUGGUGCAAGAUGAAAUCAGAAAGGGUCCAUGGACUGAACAGGAAGACAUUCUCCUGAUCAACUUUGUGCACCUGUUUGGAGAUCGACGAUGGGAUUCUAUUGCUAAAGUUUCAGGUUUGAAGGUGGCGGGAGGCAAAUAAUAGGUAUGCUUAUCUUGGGAUGGGUGGCUUUGUAAAGGAGCUACCUUUAACCACCUGGUUAUGUUGUAGGUUUGAACAGAACUGGAAAGGGUUGCAGGUUGCGAUGGGUUAACUAUCUGCACCCUGGACUCAAAAGGGGGAAGAUGACACCCCAAGAAGAGAGACUUGUGUUGGAACUUCACGCCAAAUGGGGAAAUAGGUUUGAUAAAUUAUCAUAACUCUAGCUGUUUAUAACUCUUCCAUGUAUUUAUUGUAUAUUUCCUACAUGAUAGCAAAUUCUUUUUCCUUGCUAGAAUUUCCUGAUUGCAAUUUAUGUUCACAUAGCAUCUAAUGACCCAAAAUCAUAAUAAACCAUUUAGCAAUUGAAGUUUUCCUCUGCUGCACUAUAUCAAAAUUAAUUUUAAACGUAGCAAUCAUUUAAUUUUUCUUUCUGGGAAAGUUCCUUCAAUUAGUAUAUGGUACUUUAUCAUGUGCCAGAUGGUCAAGAAUUGCUCGCAAAUUACCUGGGCGAACAGAUAAUGAGAUAAAAAACUAUUGGAGGACUCAUAUGAGGAAGAAGGCUCAAGAAAGGAAGAGGGCUAUGUCACCAUCAUUGUCAUCUUCCGACAGCUCCGCAACAUCAACUAUUACUACACAGAAUUCAUCACCUUCCCUGGAGACUGGAGAAGCUAGCUUUUAUGAUACAGGGGGGCCUGAAUCAUCACCUUCAGGAGGAAAAAUUAGUAAGGCGGUGCAAGGAGGUGAAGAGGGGUACUCUAUCUCUAUGGAUGAUAUAUGGAAAGAUAUUGAAAACACUAUUGAACCAGUUUUUGAUGGGUUUAGUGAACAAGGUUGCAAUUUCUCUUGUCCUUCAAUUGCAUCUCCCUCAUGGGAGUAUUGCCCAGACACACUCUGGACGAUGGAUGAAGAGGAGGGUAAGAUGUUUCUUCCUUAUGAGUGCGGGACAGUGUUUUUAACAGGCUAAACAGAAAUUCUUUAUUUAUGUUUCUUCAUAGACGUCAAGUUUCUCUGAGGAAGCUCUAACUUGUAUAGCAUGGGUUUUCUCUAAGCUUUCUGAUGUGUAAUCAUCUUAUGCAUAACCUAUGUCCCUGUGUUUGUGUAAUUUCACUUUUCAGAGAGGAAGAGAGAGCCUUAACAAAUCUCCUAUAAGGAGAUUGUUAUGUUCCAUUAUGUAUAAUAGAACUUUUAAGUUUUAAUGUUGAAAUGAAGAUGGUGCAACAUUAAAAUCCCAAAAUCUUUUUUGAUCACACACGCAAACACAGAGAAUAUACAAACAUAGGCAUAAAGCCAUGAGAGACAACCACAGAAAAUAGUUAGCAGUUGAAUUUGUUCAAACAACAUUUUAAUGUUCUUUCUAUUAUCAAUGCAAACUCUUUUGUGAUCAGGCUCAUUGGAAACUAGACAUUGAAAACCUAAUGCAUUUGAUUUCCAUAUAGUUAAUAUUUCACCCAAAACCAGUUGAGUCCCACAUAAUCAUGCCAAACCACAUAAUCAUCUAGAAGUAAACUCGAACCAUACUAACUAGGAAAUAAGAUUCUUCUAUUUUCUAGUCUUUCUUAUGAUAUGCACAUUAGAAAGGAAGUUUUUCCUGACACGAUAUUUUAUUUCAUCAGUUUUGCAGAAAAACCAUGAGGAUCCCCAGAAAUUAAGCCUUCUUAGAAUUGAGUUAUGGGAACAUAGCUCCAAUUAUAACUUUGAAUAAAAUAUGUCAUUAGCUAUUGCUUAUUUUGAGGAAAUAAAGUAGAUGGAUUAAUAGUAGUGCGUUAAUCAGGAUAGACCCAUUUGUCAAGCUCAGAAUAAUUAAGCACAUUGUGGACCAAAUCAGAAGAGAUUCUACUUCGUUAGUGAAUGGU